UGACCCCAGGUCAGGCGGGACUACCC
rnacentral:rRNA from 1 species